rnacentral:rRNA from 1 species
CCUACGGGGGGCAGCAGUGGGGAAUAUUGCACAAUGGGGGAAACCCUGAUGCAGCGACGCCGCGUGAGUGAAGAAGUAUUUCGGUACGUAAAGCUCUAUCAGCAGGGAAGAAAAUGACGGUACCUGACUAAGAAGCCCCGGCUAACUACGUGCCAGCAGCCGCGGUAAUACGUAGGGGGCAAGCGUUAUCCGGAUUUACUGGGUGUAAAGGGAGCGUAGACGGCAGCGCAAGUCUGGAGUGAAAUCCCAUGGCUUAACCAUGGAACUGCUUUGGAAACUGUGCAGCUAGAGUGCAGGAGAGGUAAGCGGAAUGCCUAGUGUAGCGGUGAAAUGCGUAGAUAUUAGGAGGAACACCAGUGGCGAAGGCGGCUUACUGGACUGUAACUGACGUUGAGGCUCGAAAGCGUGGGGAGCAAACAGGAUUAGAUACCCCUGUAGUC